rnacentral:rRNA from 1 species
AUUGAACGCUGGCGGCAGGCCUAACACAUGCAAGUCGGACGGUAGCACAGAGGAGCUUGCUCCUCGGGUGACGAGUGGCGGACGGGUGAGGAAUGUCUGGGGAUCUGCCCGAUAGAGGGGGAUAACCACUGGAAACGGUGGCUAAUACCGCAUAACGUCGCAAGACCAAAGAGGGGGACCUUCGGGCCUCUCACUAUCGGAUGAACCCAGAUGGGAUUAGCUAGUAGGCGGGGUAAUGGCCCACCUAGGCGACGAUCCCUAGCUGGUCUGAGAGGAUGACCAGCCACACUGGAACUGAGACACGGUCCAGACUCCUACGGGAGGCAGCAGUGGGGAAUAUUGCACAAUGGGCGUAAGCCUGAUGCAGCCAUGCCGCGUGUAUGAAGAAGGCCUUCGGGUUGUAAAGUACUUUCAGCGGGGAGGAAGGCGGUGAGGUUAAUAACCUCACCGAUUGACGUUACCCGCAGAAGAAGCACCGGCUAACUCCGUGCCAGCCGCCGCCGUAA